CACCAUUUCCCCUCCCCCGUCCACUUAAAUUCUUUGUGUUCCGCGCACUCUCAUUGACGUUUAACGUCUAGCCAUAUAAUUAUAUACUCUUCCGCAGGUUCAGUCGCUCCCAUUCAAUAGAAUACUCCUUCUUUUCCUUGUCUGGACAUUCAAACCGAGCGCAAGAAACCCAUCUUCACAGACCAUACAGCCGAGCCAAGCGGCUCUCCAAAUACCAAAGACGCCGCUUUGAACAAUAACACGAGACUAUCAGAAGGAAGUCGAACCCACUAAUGCACCUAGUAAUAUGGUUGGGAAGAGAAGAAUGAAAAUCGAAGAACCGGGAAAGGAAAAAGACCCUGUGCUGGAGUUGGACAUCUUUGCAUGAAGAGGGCAGCAAAGCGGAGGCCAGACGGAGGAAGAGAGUUUCUUGUCUCGCCCAAUCCCAAACGACGUAGCAAAUCGAUCGAAUCGAUCGAAUUAAUCCACGACACCACCUUGGCACCUCUUUUCAAACGCUUCGUUUAGUAGGGACGCUUGUGGUUCAAUAAUCGAUUUGACCCUCUCCACAUAACCGUUGAUAACAAAACCGAAUUUUUGGCUUCAUUUCUAUAAUACACUCUGUAUUAAAAAUAGAAAGGAAGGACGGAAGAGAAAAAAGAAAAAGUAAAAGAAGAAAACCUGUCAACUCACGGAGAAGUUAUAGUUCAAUUGUUUGGAUAACUUGCACUCUCCAAUGUUAAAAACUGACUAUUAACUUACAAUUUAGCAAAACUGAAUCAACCGAAGUUUCGUUUCUCCAAUUUCAGCCAGUCUAGAUUGGCGGUUUUAGCAAUGUUCAUUUCAUACAAUCAAUCAAUCAGUCUACUCCAGUGCAACAGCAGCCAACCUAAUAUAGAUACAUCUACAUCUCCUAUAAAAUCUUAGAGCGAAUGUGGAUGGAUUUUAUCCAAUAAUC
rnacentral:sRNA from 1 species